rnacentral:lncRNA from 1 species
ACAAGAGAGAGAUCUCCAUUUCCCAAGUUAGAAAGAGAGAACUUACUUGACAAAAAAGGGGAAGCAUAGAGAGAGAGAGCACUGAGAAAGGGAAAACCAAGAGAUAGAAAGCGCGGGACAUCGAAUCCCUAAUUUCUCUGCAAAGCCAGGGUUUUUUUUGGACAGCAGCUCUUCUUGCGCCUCUCAUUUUGAGCCAUUUUUUUGAAGCUGUGGCAGGCGAUCAUGAACGUUGCUCCUAAGUUGGAUCUAGAGAUUCACUGAUCUGGUAGCAUCACGAAUUCAUUAAGUGAGGAUAUCUAAGGUUAUUUUAGAAAUCUUUGAUUAACAUGUAUGCUGCUUUGUGAUCAGUAGAGGCUUGCCAUUUGGGCACUUCUAAUCGAUAAACUUCUUCUAAUUCUUAUUGUUUUCGGAUACAAAAACUUUGAUCUCCCUUCUUCUCUUUUCUACAAAUUUUGACUGUGUUUAGAUGCAAAUAUCUUGCUCUCCCUUUCCUGUUUCUACAUAAAUUUAGUACCAAAUCAUUAAUUCAUAGGCACAAUACACUCAAACAAAUUAAUAUUUAAGAUUGUUUUUCUUUAGACCUAUAUAUACACUUUGUAAUAUAACCACAUUUCCAUCUCUAAUAUGUAUUAUUUUAUGCAAUAAAUUUUAUUAAAAAAACUUUAUAUGAGUUCUAGUAUACACAUUAUUUGUAUCUAAAGGUCAAAAGUAGUCUGAUUUUGACAAAAUACUAGCAUUUAAAGUCGAUUGUUCUUGUCAGACUACAAUUAACUCGUGGCAUUUUGUUUGGCUCAUUGCAAUCUAGUAUUUCUUAGGAAAUCCUUUUACGAAUCUUUCUAAUUAUAUAAUUUAUGUGUCUAAAGGCCAGAUACUAUAUGAUCUUUCUUUAAUUUUGAAGAGAACUAAUAUUUAGCAAACAAUAGAAUUACAUACUAAAAUCAACUUUUCUAUUUCUAGAGCAAUUAAUAAGCAACAUUAUUAUCAAUCACUACAUAUAUUUCUGAAUAUACAUAAAUUUUGCAAACUGGUGUGCAGAUCCAUCUAAGAAACUUGAGCUUCACCUACAAUAAUAAUAAUAACUUUACUUUUGAGCGCAACAAAUUCAUUUUGUGAUUGCUUAGAACAACAAAAGAGAAAUUAAGAAUGAAUUUUUCUAAAAGAAUUUCGGUGUCCUUAUCACUUUAUUUGACACUUUAGUGUCUUGUUCGGAUCUUGUGUAUAGAACAUCAACAUGGCAGUUUUGUAUAUCGGACCCGCUUGUUUGGAUAGCACUGCUGAUUGGCAAUGGGAACUUGUUUUGAUAGCACUGCUUAUUGGCAAUGGGAACAAAAUCGUGAAGAACUGUUUUGCCCCAAUUGCCAGUAAGAAAAUUCGAUGCGACGACUUAUUUUUGUCUUCCAAACUAGUACCAAGACUGUCAUGGUCUUGUAAGAGUCUAUUAUUCUGAAUAUAAUAAUGAAAUCACAAAAAAGAGCAAAGAAAGAAUUUAAAUGGUGUGCCUCCUAGAGAAUUUUUGCUUUUUCCAUCAAUUUGUAAUUGUUUUGUGUUAAAAUAUCCAUUAAUAAAAUAAUAGUGGAAAUAAUAAAAUAAUAGUGGAAAUUAGCCGACUCCUUAAGUGGUAUUUGGACCUUUUUACUGUAAAUGUCAACGUUAAAUCUUCAUAUAUCAAACUUCCAUUUUGUUUUCUUUUGGCAAUUAUUUUCUCAAAAAUCUUAUACAAAAAUUGCAAGAAUAGUUCUAAUUAUAUAAAUAUUGUUGUAAUUGCAGCAACACACCUAUAUAAGGAGGUUAAAUGCCCCACUUGAAAACGAAGAGGAAUCAAGUAGUCAUGUAGUCGUGGCCCAUGAUUUUUUAAGAGCAUACCAGAUGCAAAAGAGAAGAGUGAAAGUGAAGAGGAAGAUGAGGAGGAAGGUGAGGAAGAUAGUGAAGGCGAAGCGGAAGGUGAGGAGGAUGGUGAAAGCGAAGAAGAAGGUGAGGAGGGUGGUGAAGAAGAUAAUGAAAGGAGAACAAAGUACAGAAAAGACCAGACUACGUUUUAAGAACUCAAAUGGGAACUUUGACCAAAGGUAAAAGGGAAGGGUGUACUUAGAUUGGGGCCUCUUACAUAUUUGUAAUUUAAAGUUUUGUAGUUAAAUAUUUACAAACUCAGUUUUGCAUUGCAGACAUAUUUUGAUAUAGUGUCUUGCCCUCAAACACUAUGUAUGUGUAACAUCUAUUUAAGACAGUA